GUAGGGAUGAGACGUCAUGUAUAUUUUGUAUAAUCAUUUUAUUAGAUAAAACUAGUCGACGUAAAUAAAAAUAUUUUCAGGUUUGUCAUUUAACCGUGAUAAUAUUGGAAUUUUAUUAUAAAUAUAUUUGUAGCGAUUAUGUAGUUUCGGUGUUGUUAAAUUAUAUACCUACUUACUAUGUGGUGUCGAAGAAUAUGACUGAAAAAUAAGAAUUGUGAAAAAUAAUCAAAUUGAUUCUAUAGUAUUUUCACCUCGAAUUAUACUAGUAACCAUGGUGCAGACAAUAUUCGGAGUAUGGGACUACGUCAUCAUGACGGCUACCAUGGUAGCUUCUGUUGCUAUUGGUUUGUAUUUCCGAUUCAGUGGCGGAAAACAAAAAACCAAUGACGAAUACCUCUUAGCAGAUCGCAACAUGUCGAUAUUCCCAGUAGCUGUAUCACUUAUGGCUUCGUUCAUGUCUGCUAUUACAUUAUUAGGAGUGUCUGCUGAAAAUUACUACUACGGCAUGCAAUUCGUCGUCAUUAACUUCUCAUACGGCAUUGCUACUCCUAUAGCUUCUAAAUUAUAUUUACCAGUAUUUUUUGGACUUCAGAAAACUAGUACUUACGAAUAUUUAGAGUUACGUUUCGGUCCACAAAUAAGAAUGCUGGCGUCGUUAACUUAUACUCUACAAAUGAUUUUGUAUAAUGGGAUAGUUCUAUAUGCGCCCGCAAUUGUCUUGGAAUCAGUGACGGGACUUGAUAGAUUGGUAUCUAUUCUAGUAGUGGGAUUAGCGUGUACAUUUUAUUCAACGCUAGGUGGAAUGAAGGCUGUGCUAUUCACUGAUUUACUACAAUCGUUUCUAAUGUUUGGUGCAGUGUUCAGUGUUGUCAUAUUUGCAUCAAUACAACUUGGUGGAUUUGAACAAAUUUUCAUUAAAUCUUACGAAGGUGGCAGAUUGGACUUCUCAAAUUUCAGCGUAGACCCAACAGAAAGACAUACAUGGUUCUCUUUGAUUAUUGGUGGCUGCAUUACAUACCUUUCAUUGUAUGCUGUCAACCACACUCAGGUUCAACGUCUCCUCACAGUCAGCUCAUUGCAACGAUCACAGCAGUGUCUAUGGUGGAGUUGGCCUGUUCUUUCUGUGCUCAGUAUUAUUACGUGUAUCAGUGGAUUGAGCAUUUAUGCUGUAUAUAAAGACUGUGAUCCACUUACCAGCAAAAACAUUGGAUCAAUUGAUCAGCUUAUGCCAUAUUAUGUGGUAGACGCGAUGAAGUCUGUACCAGGACUGGCUGGUUUGUUCGUGGCGGGAAUAUUCAGUGCGUCACUGUCCACUAUAUCCGCGGCCUGUAAUGCACUAGCGGCGGUUACACUUACAGAUUAUGUAAGCAGGUGGUUCAAAGUGAAUCCUUCGUAUAUACCCUGGCUAACUAAGUUAGCGGCGUGUGGUUUCGGACUCGUAUUCCUUGCGCUGGCGUUCGUGGCCGAGCACUUAGGCGGGGUCUUGCAAGCUGCUCUAACGAUAUUCGGAGCCGUUGGUGGCCCUCUACUUGGUAUAUUCACUUUGGGAAUGUUUACUACAUAUGCGAAUGAACGGGGUGUAUCAGUUGCUCUUCUCAGCGGAAUGGCAAUGACUCUUUGGAUAAGUUUCGGAGGUCCUCGUCCGUCCCCGGUUAAGUUGCCAGUCAGUGUAGAAGGCUGCCUUUUCAAUGUUACAGUACCUGAUCCAGUUUCAUCUCAACCGAGCGAUUAUUUCUACUUAUACAGGAUAUCUUAUAUGUGGACAAGUCCGAUCGGGUUUGUUUGGGUGUUAGUUGUGGGAUCAAUUGUAUCCCUUGCUUGGAAACAGCAGCAGCCGUGGCAGAAGGCGGGUCGCGAUCACCCCGACCCCGCGCUCUUCACUCCCCCCCUCGCACGCAGACUGAGGGCGACGAACGAAAAGUCCAGUGCGCAGAUGGACACCAUCAUUCCACACUGAAUGCACACGCUUCUUUAUGGAUUUUUUUAUGCUUGACAAAAUUUUAUAAGUGCGAAUUGCUGAAACAAGAUUUACAACAUUAAUGUUCCUGAUUAUAUUAUUAAAUUUAAUUUAUAUGAAUGUAUAUCGUUAUUGCAUGGAAUAUGACGAUCGAAAUAUUCGAAGAAACUACUACUGCAAUCUUAUUUAAAAUUCUAUGAUUUAUUUAAUUAUGUUUAUGUAUUAAUGAUUUACUAGUAUCUAUGUUAUGUAGAAUCCAGUGGAUCAUUAAUUGUUACUUGUAUAUGUUUUAAGAUAACUUUCAAUUAUUCAGAUAAUAUAAAACCUCUUCGGCGGUCUACAAAAUUACGGACUAAAAUAUAUGGUAAUAAAUUAGGUAUUCAUAUGAUCAUUCAUGUCAUCAAUUGACUAAUAUGAAAUGACGUAAGCAAUUUUGUAAUAAAGCUAUCACUUUGGUCGAAAUUUGUUUCUAAAGUUCGAGUACAAAUAAUUUAUUGUAAGGGCUAUUUUAAUGAACGAAAGUAUAAUUUAUGCAUUUUUAAUAUAUAAUAUUGUCAAUAACUAUUGCUUGAUUACAAAUAAAACUUAACACAACAUAAUAUGAGUAUUUUGUCAUCCAAUGUAAACGACGGCAUUUGUUAAUUUUUAUGCAAUAUAGGUCUAUGAAAUUUUGUAGUGUGUUUUGUAAAAGGAAUUUGAUGAUUUUCUUUAUAAUAAUCAAAAUGCUAAUAGAAAAUUAUAUCAGUACAACGAUGCUUAAAAAGGAAUUAAAGAACAAAACAUAUUUUCGAAAUAAACUGAACGUUUACGUUUGAUUUACGUUUGCGUUGAUGUUGCGAACUCUUAUACCAAAAUAAGGUAUGGUAAGUUUAUCUAAAGCAUUCAAUAUUAUUUUAUUUAAAAAUAAAGAACUUAAUUAUGUUAUGUUUAAUUAUGAAACAGCAUUCCUUAAAUAUACAUUUAAAUAUAUCAUUUGAAACCAAAUACAGAAAAUUUUCAAUAAAAUACUUGUACAUAUAGAACACGGACGAUUUUUGUAUAAUACACUAGUGUAGAACCAGCAUGAAAUAAGAUCCCAUCCUUCGUUAGGAAGCCCAGCCGUGUGACAUUUAUAAUAUAAAAAAAUAUGUUUGAAGAAUUUACCAAAUGUAAUUUAGAAAUAAAAAAAGACAUUUAUAUAGAUUACAUGUAUAAGCUAUACGAUAAAUAUCGAUAUGCUUAUGGUGACAAAAACACUAAUUACACAUUAUGACAACAUAAGUACUUAGGAUACUUAUGAGUCCGACUGUACUGUUCUAAAGGCGGCUCUUGACUGAGCUUUGGGUUUUCACUUAGCGAUAUCGCUUUGUUUCAUGCGACGCCAUUAUCUGUGUGACGUUCUUCACAAUCAUUGAGAUACUCACCUCCACUACUAUAAACGGCACGAAUUUGAAUUUGAAAUAUAUUCAUAGUGUCAUUCGUUCCCGAAUGUGGCUGCGUGCCCUAUUCAGUUGGAAAAUUGUUUUUAAAUAUGUUAAAGCCAUAAUAGAUUAUUAUAUUUGUAUAAAAAUAGGUAUUGUAAAAGUUAUAUUUUUAUUUUAUUAACUUGUGAUAGCACAAUCUCUUCCAAAAAUGCCUUAAAAAAUGUAUAGGGUUAAAGUAAAUUCCAAUUUAGGAUAGUAAAAAAUAAAUACUUAUUUUAUGUACGAAUGAAUAAUAAUUAUACUGCCAGAUACUUUCAAGUAUUUUAUAUUUAUGAGAAGAGUACUUAUAUGGAUAAUACUUAAUUUGGUUACAAUAAUC